rnacentral:rRNA from 1 species
AGAGUUUGAUUAUGGCUCAGGAUGAACGCUAGCUACAGGCUUAACACAUGCAAGUCGAGGGGCAGCAUGAACUUAGCUUGCUAAGUUUGAUGGCGACCGGCGCACGGGUGAGUAACACGUAUCCAACCUGCCGAUGACUCGGGGAUAGCCUUUCGAAAGAAAGAUUAAUACCCGAUGGCAUAGUUCUUCCGCAUGGUAGAACUAUUAAAGAAUUUCGGUCAUCGAUGGGGAUGCGUUCCAUUAGGUUGUUGGCGGGGUAACGGCCCACCAAGCCUUCGAUGGAUAGGGGUUCUGAGAGGAAGGUCCCCCACAUUGGAACUGAGACACGGUCCAA